UGAUGAUGGACGCACGGCAUUGCAAGCUCAGCAAAAGACACUACGUUUCUUUCUUUGCCAAAAUGUGUUUGCCCUGUGCAAUUGAAUUUUCUCCUACGUGUUGCCUGAGAGGUGUUAACAAGGACAUUUAGGAGAGAUAAAAGAAGUGGCCAAGAUGGGGAAGGACUACAACUGGCUGCUGCCUCUUAGCUGAGGGUUUUUUCUCUUGGGAAGUGCAGAGAUGCCACAAAAUUUUGUCUGGGGGGUCAGAGGCUGGGCUCAGAUGCACCCUCUCUCUCACUCUCAGGACUGGAGCUGAGACAGGCUACUGCUGCAGGAAGAAUUCACUGCCACUGUGAAGUUCUGACCAGCACUGCUUUUCUGCGUACCAUGGGUGAGCCUUUGCCUAUAACAGCGGCCAUUGACUGAGACCUUUCCAACAGCUGAUCUCACUGGGAAGGACUCUCACCAUCUGCUCAGGUGCCCCAGGGGAAAACCUGGCACCCUGACAUCCUUCCAUCUCUGGAAAAAUUGUUUCCUGGGUCCUUGCGGGAGCCCAGCCAGCACUGCCCAGCCCUGCUGUUUGCUGCUGCUGCUGCUUUGGGCUAUUUGCUACCAGGACCCCCUUCUACAUCUCCUUAUACCAGUUCUUGGGGCUUAGUGCUACACUUCGAUUCACCAUCCCUGGCAGUCUGCUCACCUGUGCUGUUCCAGCCUGCUGCUCCAAGGUUCCUGCUACAGUCAUAUCGCCAUCCAGAGGGAGCACUGGGACCAGCUACCCCCCGUGAGUUUGUAAAGGAAGUUCCUCCUCCAUCCCUUCCUGCCGGCUGUGCCGCCAUUACCGUGUGGAGAGAGGGGGCUGGGCCAACUCCACAGCGCCCCCUGCAGGCGCGGGGAAUCAUCGCACCCGCCCUGCCCGGCCGGGAGCCACCAGCGCCUCUGCCGGCUGUGACCGGAACUGCACCUGAGGGGAAAGUGCCCAGCAGCUCAGAGAAGACUGGGGCUACGCUUGGGGUUCUAUUUGUUGUUAGUGCUGUGGCUGUUGUUUUCUUGCCUUGUUAUACAUAUAUAUACUAGGAAAGAAUUUGAAAGCCCCUUAAUUUCAAAGUUAUAAUAAUUUGGAGGAAAGAGGGUCAUAUUUUUCAUUCCAAGGGAGGUUCCCACCUCCCUUGGCAGACAUCUGACUGUGAAACCAAGACAGAUAGCCAAGUUGUGGUAAUUAUGCCUUGUUUGUACAGGAGUAGUGAAGAGUUCUUUUGCGAUAGUCACAGAAGCUACUAAUAAGAUCAUCCCAUUUCAGGCGUUAUAGGAAAGACAAAUUAAUUUUUCUUUGAUGGAAAAAUUUUAGUAUCUAUAUUGUCUUGAACUUGCUAUCAUUGAGCAAACAGGAUCUUGAAAAAAUAAACAGGCCAUGUAUUGUACAAAAAUUGCUUUCCACACCAAGUAAGUUUUUAAGACACUAUGAUGUGGUGCAAAAGACUGCCCUGGCUGGCCUUCUGCUGUCAGAUUGUGACUCCAUGCAUUGGUUUCCUUUUCUUCUGAGGAAGAAGUGAAGCAUUUUGCCACUUAAUAAUGACAGAACAUGGCAGUGGAUCAUUUAGAGCAAGGCACUGAAGCAGCUAAUUAUGAUGGAGAUUAUCCUGUUCUUUGAAAUAAAAAGGCAGUAACUAAGAAAUGACAAAAUUAAUCAAACAUGCUGAACUUGGAAAGGGCAAGAAUGAACAGUAAAAUUCAGGUCCAUUAGUAAGAGUAAGAUACGAAGAGUAAGAUUUCCUUUCCAAAGGGAAAUAGAAAUUAAAUCCUAAUGCACUAGAGGAAGGAGAAAACAUUUUUAAAAAAUAUUUUCUAAACAGAAUAAGUUGAAAGUAAUUUUUGGUUUGUGGUAUAACAUGAGGAGACUGGGCACAAGCUUUCCAAAUAUAGCUAUUUAUGUGCACAUGGGCACUGAAUGGAGAAGUCAUCACUGGUACUGUAAAUGAAAAGUGCAAGUCUAAAGCCAACCUGAUGCCCUAUUUACCUUCCAGAAUUCUGCAAAUACUUGAAUCACUGACUAGAUGAACUAAUAAAAAUUGUCAAAAUUCAUCUUUA